rnacentral:rRNA from 1 species
AGACGUAGGUUGCGAGCGUUAUCCGGAAUUAUUGGGCGUAAAGCGUCAGUAGGUGGUUUGUUAAGUUGGAUGUUAAAGCUCAGAGCUCAACUCUGAACAUGUGUCCAAAACUGGCAAGCUAGAGACAGGUAGAGGCAAGUGGAAUUCUGUAUGUAGGGGUAAUAUCCGUAGAUAUACAGAGGAACACCAAAAGCGAAGGCAGCUUGCUGGACCUGUUCUGACACUCAAUGACGAAAGCGUGGGGAGCAAACGGGAUUAGAUACCCCGGUAGUCCACGCCCUAAACGAUGAACACUAGGUGUUGGAGGUCUCGACCCCUCCAGUGCCGACGCUAACGCAUUAAGUGUUCCGCCUGGGUAGUACGGCCGCAAGGUUAAA